rnacentral:rRNA from 1 species
AUUGAACGCUGGCGGCAGGCUUAACACAUGCAAGUCGAGCGGAGCGAGGGUGCUUGCACCUUAGCUUAGCGGCGGACGGGUGAGUAAUGCUUAGGAAUCUGCCUAUUAGUGGGGGACAACAUUCCGAAAGGAAUGCUAAUACCGCAUACGCCCUACGGGGGAAAGCAGGGGAUCUUUGGACCUUGCGCUAAUAGAUGAGCCUAAGUCGGAUUAGCUAGUUGGUGGGGUAAAGGCCUACCAAGGCGACGAUCUGUAGCGGGUCUGAGAGGAUGAUCCGCCACACUGGGACUGAGACACGGCCCAGACGCCUAGGGGAGGCAGCAGUGGGGAAUAUUGGACAAUGGGCGGAAGCCUGAUCCAGCCAUGCCGCGUGUGUGAAGAAGGCCUUUUGGUUGUAAAGCACUUUAAGCGAGGAGGAGGCUACUGGUACUAAUACUACUGGAUAGUGGACGUUACUCGCAGAAUAAGCACCGGCUAACUCUGUGCCAGCAGCCGCCGUAAUAC